AGUCUUUUCUCUUUUUGUGGAAUAUUGUAUAUGUUCUCUUUUUGUGGAAUGUUUAGUCUUUUCUCUUUUUGUGGAAUUUUUAUUUUAAUUGAAAAAAAGACUUUGCAAUCAUAACACAUUUCCAAUAAAGAUUUAUAAAGCUGUCCUUAUCCUAUGAUCACAUUGACCCCUAUUACAACUCAAACUACUGCCCCAAUUCAUUU